UGGUGAAAUGUUAGGUAGUGUGAAGAUACGGUAACAACGUUAUGGGACAAAAAGACCCUGUGAAGCUUUAUAGGGAUAGAAUUUAGUACGGGUUCAAUAUUGGUAUAUCUUCAUGCUAUGCAUCUUCAUUACAAGGAAAAACAGUGAGAUACCAUUC
rnacentral:rRNA from 1 species